UACGGGGGGCAAGCGUUGUUCGGAAUUACUGGGCGUAAAGGGCUCGUAGGUGGCCAACUAAGUCAGACGUGAAAUCCCUCGGCUUAACCGGGGAACUGCGUCUGAUACUGGAUGGCUUGAGGUUUGGGGAGAGGGAUGCGGAAUUCCAGGUGUAGCGGUGAAAUGCGUAGAUAUCUGGAGGAACACCGGUGGCGAAGGCGGCAUCCUGGACCAAUUCUGACACUGAGGAGCGAAAGCCAGGGGAGCAAACGGG
rnacentral:rRNA from 1 species